UAAUUAGUUCUCAUUGCUGCCUUUACCAUUUUCUUCCCAGACUGGGGUCUCUCCGUUUCCUUCCCCAUCAUUUUCCUGCAGUCCUAUUCAGGAGCGGCCUGAAACCACGCUGAGCAUGAUGGAGUUGGGCAUACUGGAGUCAAGUGUGGCAUGCAGUGGUGAUCAGCCACAGUGGGAACAGCAUGAAAGAACACACAGAACACACUCAGGAGAGCAAGCAAGGUGCCUUAACUAGCGUCUGGAAGGACUGGUCUGUUAUUCAAUUGAAAAGAGGCAGAGUUUCCAUUCAGCUGGCCAGAAUGGAUCAGCCUGCUGCCUUGGAGGACCCAGAAGAGAGAGAGAGAGAGAGAGAGAGAAAGAGAGAGUGACCUGAAGGGAAGAGGUGGGGCCAGAGGGUGUCUUGGGCCCUUUUGGAGCUGGGAAGCCAGCACUGGUGGGUGUUCUCAGUGGCUUGUGACUCGACUCAGGUUUCUAUUUUGUUCUUUAUUAUUUGUGCACGGGUUUUGUUGUUAUAAUAAAUGGUAAAAGAAAUCAUUUACAACCCUGCAUAUUGGUUUACCCUUUUCUCCCCUCAAUUCUUCAUUCUCAACCCAUUAGCCAUACUUCAUUCUGUGCACUCUAUUCUCCACAACUCAUUUCCAUUCACGUUUUCUCCUCCAUUUCCCAUUUGUGGUAGUUUGAAUGUAAUUGGCCCCAAUAAUCUCAUAGGGAGUGGCACUAUUAGAAGGUGUGGUUUUGUUGGAGUGGGUGUGGCCUUGUUGGAGGAAAUGUGUCACUGUGGUCUGGGCUUUGAGGUCUCUUUUGCUCAAGCUUCCUUUAGUGUGACUGUUAGUUGACUUCCUGUUACCUGCAAGAUGUAGCACUCUCAGCUCCAGCACCAUGUCUGCCUGCAUGCCGCCAUGCUCCCAUCAUGAUAGUAAUAGACUGAACCUCUGAAACUGUAAGCAAGCCCCAAUUAAAUGUUUUCUUUAUAAGAGUUGCUAUGUUCAUGGUGUCUCUUCACUGCAAUAAAAACCCUAACUAAGGCACCAUUCUGCUAUUCCAGACUUUGUUCCUAUUCUCCAUACUUCAUUUUCUGUACUCAGACUCCAUAUCUCACACUCUGUUCAUCAUGUUCUCCCAUCUAUGCCUCUACUUACACUUGAUAUUCCCUCCUUUGUUCUACAUUCCUCUUCUCCAUGCUUCAAGAUCCAUUCGCAAAGUUCUUUUCAUUCUUCAUUUCCUCAUUUCAUACUCUUUUUUUUCUUACUCCGCACUUCAUUCUGCAUCAUAUAUUCUCCACAUUUCACAUGCCAAUGAUUAACUUCUUCUCUCUUUGCUCCUCACUCUAUGGUUUCCCCCCCAUAUUUCUUUCUAUAUAUACUAUCCUUAUAUCAUGUUCAGUUCUCCAUGGUCUCCCCUAUAUUCUUCACGCUACUCACUUGUAGUCUAACCUCUAUACCUCAUGGUCCAUUGACCAACCUCUCUCAUUCAUUCUCCAUUCUCCUCUCUCCAUAGUUUGUUAACACACUUCUGUCUGUUUACUUUGUUUUGAGUAUAUUGUGCUCCAUUCAUCCUCCUCUGUCUUUACCUCAUCCUCUAUUCCCAUACGUGGUAAUUAUUAUGUUUAUACUCCAUUCUCCUCACUUAGUCUCCAUUAUCCAUGCUCCACACUCCACUCUUUUCUUCAUUCUUCAUCCUCUGUUCUCAAACUCAUUCUACCUUCUAUUCUGUUCUGUAGAACCCUUCCUCUGAUCCCACUCCCAUUACCAUUCCAGAGUAUAGUCUGCAUACUCCAUAUCCCAAGCUGGACUGUCCAUACUGUAUUUACCAUUGUUGGUACUCCAUUCUCAACACAUUCUAUUCUAUCAUCCAUCCAUUAUUUACACUCUACUUCAUGCUUCAUCAUUGAUACAUUACUCAGUAUGAUUACCUUUCAUCUCCCAUGCUAAGUUCCACUAUAUUAUUCAUCCUUCGUGUCCUUUGUCCAUCCUUCAUAUGCCACUGUCAUUCUUCACACCCCAUACUAUUUUGUCAAUAUUGUGCACACUCAGAUUCUCAUAUUUUCCCCCUUAACUAACUCCGCAAAUUCUAUUCUCCACAUACCAUAUUUGACUUUUCAUUAUCCGUGCUCUGUACUCUAUACUUUAUUCUCCAUUGUUAAUAUACUACCUUUCAUGCUUUAACCACUUUUUGUAAAUAUUCCCCAUACAAUAAUCUUCAUAUUCCAACUUCAUUUUCAUUUUACUGCAUGUCAUUUCCUGUACUCCAUUCUUUACCUUUCACAUGCCAAACUCCAUUCUUCGUCUUUUCUCUCUGUUCUUCAUACUAUACUCUAUUUUUCAUGUUUUUUCUUUCUCCGUACUUCAUUUUC